UGAAUACGUUCCCGGGCCUUGUACACACCGCCCGUCACACCAUGGGAAUUGGAUCUACCCGAAGGUGGUGCGCCAACCUCGCAAGAGGAGGCAGCCAACCACGGUCGGUUCAGUGACUGGGGUGAAGUCGUAACAAGGUAGCCGUAGGGGAACCUGCGGCUGGAUCACCUCCUUU
rnacentral:rRNA from 1 species